GACGAACGCUGGCGGCGUGCUUAACACAUGCAAGUCGAACGGUGAAGGGGUCUGCUUUUGUGGGCCCUGGAUGAGUGGCGAACGGGUGAGUAACACGUGAGUAACCUGCCUCCUUCUUCUGGAUAACCGCAUGAAAGUGUGGCUAAUACGGGAUAUUCUUGGUCUGUCGCAUGAUGGGUCUGGGAAAGAUUUCGCCUUUGGGUGUUUUUGGUUGGGGAUGGGCUCGCGGCCUAUCAGCUUGUUGGUGUGGUGAUGGCCUAGCAAGGCGGUGACGGGUAGCCGGGGUGGGAGGGUGGACGGUCACACUGGGACUGAGACACGGACCAGACUCGUACGGGAGGCAGCAGUGGGGAAUAUUGCACAAUGGGCGCAAGCGUGAUGAAGCGACGCCGCGUGAGGGAUGGAGGCCUUCGGGUUGUAAACCUCUUUCGGCAGUGAAGCAGGCCUGCUCCUUGUGGGUGGGUUGACGGUAGCUGGAUAAGAAGCGCCGGCUAACUACGUG
rnacentral:rRNA from 1 species